rnacentral:rRNA from 1 species
CCUACGGGAGGCAGCAGUGAGGAAUAUUGGUCAAUGGACGCAAGUCUGAACCAGCCAUGCCGCGUGCAGGAAGACGGCUCUAUGAGUUGUAAACUGCUUUUGUACGAGGGUAAACGCAGAUACGCGUAUCUGUCUGACAGUAUUGUACGAAUAAGGAUCGGCUAACUCCGUGCCAGCAGCCGCGGUAAUACGGAGGAUUCAAGCGUUAUCCGGAUUUAUUGGGUUUAAAGGGUGCGUAGGCGGUCGGAUAAGUUAGAGGUGAAAUCCCGAGGCUCAACUUCGGAAUUGCCUCUGAUACUGUUCGGCGAGAGAGUAGUUGCGGUAGGCGGAAUGUAUGGUGUAGCGGUGAAAUGCUUAGAGAUCAUACAGAACACCGAUUGCGAAGGCAGCUUACCAAGCUACUUCUGACGUUGAGGCACGAAAGCGUGGGGAGCAAACAGGAUUAGAUACCCUUGUAGUC